rnacentral:rRNA from 1 species
UACGGAGGGGGCUAGCGUUGUUCGGAAUUACUGGGCGUAAAGCGCACGUAGGCGGCUUCGCAAGUCAGAGGUGAAAGCCUGGGGCUCAACCCCAGAACUGCCUUUGAGACUGCGUCGCUCGAAUCCGGGAGAGGUGAGUGGAAUUCCGAGUGUAGAGGUGAAAUUCGUAGAUAUUCGGAAGAACACCAGUGGCGAAGGCGGCUCACUGGACCGGCAUUGACGCUGAGGUGCGAAAGCGUGGGGAGCAAACAGG